rnacentral:lncRNA from 1 species
AAAAAUGUUGUUUGUUUAUUUUAGAAUAAACAUUUUUAUAUUGGGGUGACAGAGCAAUGAGUUAGGAGAUUCAGCAUCUGCAAGUAACUCUCCCUGGGAAAUCUGCACGUCUCAUAGUUCCUGUUGACUAGGAUAAUGGCCCUCUGUAUUUUCCCAGACAAGAAAGGAAUAUCGCCACAUCAAUAAUGCCCCGUGUUUGUGUAGCUUCAAAGUGAGAAAGAAAGGUUGAAAGUAAACAAUGACUAUGAAAUCCUUCAUCUUCCAGGAGACUUCCUGCUCUUCUGUCUGGUCCCUAACCCCCUAGGAAGUAAUAUCCCCACCAAAUGUGCUGUUCUCAUCACUUCUGUGGCAUCUGUUUUCUGUCUUGUCUUAUAAAGUAGAUACUUUUGACUUUGUCUUUUACUUUCUAUGUAAAGUUCACAUAGCCUGCCAUAGGAGCAUUGUGUUUUGGCCUUAACACUGUUAUUUGACACACUUUAACUAUAUAAAAGCCUCCAGUAGAAUAAAUAUUACUCAAAUUUGGGACAAUUUUGGGGGUGGUGGUGGUGGAUAAUAGGUUCAUAAACCUAACAUUUACAUUUUAAAAUAUAAAAAAUAUUUUUAUAAAAUUGUUUCUAUGAAAGAUUUAGUAGUUUUGUACUGUUCAUGCUCAAAUAUUCUUUUGUUAUUUAUAUAGCAAAGCAUGUGAUUAAAAAUUACAUUCUGGUGUUUCAUUGUACUGUAAGGUGGUGAUAGUUAACAAUAAUGCACUGUACAUUUCAAAAUAACUAUGAGAGGAUUUUGAAAGUUCUCACCACAAAGAACUGCUAAAUGUUUAAGUUGAUGGCUAUGCUAAUUUUCCUGCUUUAUUAUUACACAAUGUGCACAUGAAUCAAAC